AUGCCAUGAUGAUAAAGAUCCAACUCUGAUUUUCUGUGAGUUAUUCAUUUCACGAGCUUUUUAACACUGAGCAUU
rnacentral:snoRNA from 1 species